rnacentral:lncRNA from 1 species
CUGUUAUUUCUGCUUGAACAGGCUCCUGGGUGUGAACACCUCAUCCCUAACUGGUGGUGCUGUUUUGGGGAGAUUCUCCAGUCUAGACAGUGGAGGCAUUUUACUACAGUCAUGGAAAGCUAACUGAUGCAUUCCUUUGCCAUCUCUUAAGGUCCUGGCUUUUUCUUACCUGGACCCCAGGCUGAGCGAUGAAAUGCUGAUCUGUAGCCUCCACUGCCAGCUCCAGACAGUUGCUCCCACCCCAGGCUUCGCAGGAGUAGACCAGUAGCUGUUCUGCCAAGUCUUCAUCAUUGCUGUAACACUCGGUGAACAACUCUGUAUCAUCAGGUAGCAUCCAGGAUACAGGGAUAAAGAGAAUGAGAACACCGGAAGGCCUGAGACAUCUAACUAAGGCUGUGUGAAUCCAGCAGCCAAGGGCUGAAGUGGAGACAGAAGCACAGAAGCUUCGACGGAAGUUUGCCACCAACUUCCAGACAAAGGUGAGGAGUGCGUCAUUGUAGGAGUUCUUGGCGAUCUGCAGAUUCCGGUACACUAGGGUGCUGAAGUGGGUGGAGAAGAGCUCUGUGAGGACUUCAUUGGUGAGAAACUUCUGCAGAUUCAGGCCAUUCUCCAGAAAGAGGCGGACAAACUUGGGUCUGUCCUUUAUGAGAGCCGUGAACAUGACCUCCUGAAGGUCGGCAGACUAAAGAGACAGAAGAGAGGAGAGCUCAUACCACAAGGCCAACGAAGAAAACACUAAGUCUCUGCAUUCCAGCCACAACAUCCUAGCAUCUUCAGCGUCUCUCUCCAUCCUGCUUUGACAAUAGAAUUCAUAUUUUCAGCAUCUAGACGGGAAAGCAGCAGAGUGGAGCCUUUGAAUGUGGGAACGCACUUUGAAUACGAAGGUACUUAUAUGGUGACAGCACGCCCACUUAAGCAUGACAUGGGUCAGGAACCAACUUUGGCAGAAAGGGCAUCAGGGAGGAGAAGCCACCAGUGGGAGUCUACAGUAGACACUGUGAACCAGCUGUCAGUGCUGCCUGUCCACACCAUGGGCUCUGCUGCCCUUCCUAGGUAAAAAUCUCACCUUCUCUACAGUGGCAGAGUUCUCAGACAGUUGCCAAAAUGAAACCCAUCAAGCCACAUACUGUCUAGCAAAGAUCUGGGGUGUCACAGCAGCAAAUCACUGGAACACUAGGUGCUGGCUACCUGUGUCAGUGUGUCCUGAGUGUCUGGUAAAAUGGUCCUACUGAGCUUUCAGGGAGGCCAAGGUCCAGCCCAUGUAUGUUCUUUGACUGGUGGUUGAGAGUCUGAGAGCCCCAAGGGUCCAGGUUAGGUGACUCUGUUGGUAUUUCUGUGGAGUUCCUGUCCUCUCCAGGGAUCCCCGACUCUGUAGAUCUCUCUGGGAUCAGCAGGUAAGAGGUUCAUCUGGUGAGAAUGAUAGCUCCAUUUUCUCCACUGUCCUCAAAGCAUAUGUCCAUUACACCUACUAUCUUGCAUUUCGUUCCAUGUGUGUGUGCUUCCCCAUUGGCACCACACUAGACAGUGUGAGGCAGCAGCUCUCAAACACGGGGACUUGCUACGUCAGACUACUGGCAAUCAACCUUGCUUUCUAACUCAGCAAGCUUGAAAUGGAACAUAGCAGUUUAUACCACUAGCGAGUUACUGGGUUACAUUGUCACUGGUCCUGGGACCACCCUGAAAGCCACUUGUAUACAGGAAAAGAAAAGCUUUGCACACACGUGCACACAUGCACAGACACACACACACACACACACACACACACACACACACACACACACACACACACACACACACACACACUCAUUUGUUUUCAAACCUCGAUUCUACCAGUCUUUAGUUCAAUGAGUCAGAACAAGAUUUCUGUCUCUGAGCCUCAGUUUGUUUUGUUCUGCUCGGUGAAAACAAAUGAGACAACCCAGGUCAUGCUCUUUCAGAGAUUCAAGCUCAGAGCAGCACCUCCCCCAGACACCACCAGGAGCCCCCAUCCAGUAACAUCUGGUGCUCUGACUCACUUGUCAACAAAAUGAGAUCAUCUCUGCUGUAGGUUGAGGCAAGCCGGACAAAUCUUUAGCAAUAGCUCUCUAUUCUAGAGGAACACGCACCCUGACACAGUCUCUGCUGAGUCCUAUGGUGCACAUACUCCUGCCGUGGUGAGUUUUCGGCUACUACUGUGAUACCUCUGAAUGCAGAACCAGAAAUAGUUCUAGAGGCUCCCACUACUAGACAGGAUCUUAGACUAGUGGGCUCACACUAGACAGCAGGGUCCUUUAUUAGUGAAGGUCCUAACAGCAGGCAGCAGCAGCAGAAGUAAACCCACCCCACAAACACAAUUUCUAAAAUAAGUAGAAAGUCAUGAGUUGGUGAGUUGGUGGGGAGGCAUUGUAUGUGUGGGGCGCAGGUGUGCAUGUGCAGGUGUGCAUGUGUGCAUGUGUGCAGGUGUAUAUAUGCAGAUGUGUAUGUGCAGGUGUGUGUGUAGGUGUGUGUGUGUGUGUGUGCGCGCGCGCAUGCGUGCAGAUGUGUGCCCCUGAUAGUGCUCAUGAAAAGGCCAGAGUAAGGACAUCACAUCUCUUUCUCUCUCACUGGACUCUUUAUUGCCCUGAGGCUGGACCCCUAACUAAACAUGAAGCUGGUCUCUUUGGCCAGCUUCUGUAGCCAGUGAGCUCUUAGGAUCUACCAGUCUCCAUCCCUCGGUGCGGGCAUUACACACACACACACACACACACACACACACACACACACAGCCAGAUGCAGAAUUUUAUGUGACUGCCAGUGAUUUGAACUCAUGGCUUCAUGCUUGCAGAGUAAAUGCCCUAGCCCACUAAGCUUUCUCCACCAUCCUCCAAGAC